CCUUGUACACACCGCCCGUCACACCAUGGGAGUUGGUUCUACCCGAAGACGCUGCGCUAACCGCAAGGGGGCAGGCGGCCACGGUAGGGUCAGCGACUGGGGUG
rnacentral:rRNA from 1 species